AUACAUGCUAUGAAAUUUAUUUAUUUAACAUUAGUAGAAGCCUGAUUGACAGAUAAAAUAUCUUCCACCAAAUCGAAUAAUGUAAUGUGACAAUAUAGAAACUGGGAUGUGUCAUUGCAAUAGUAAUCAAUCACAUUUAGGACCAAUGAAUCAGUUUCAAGGUAAAAAAAUGAAAGAGGAAACAGGAUUCUAUGACACUGAUGUAGUUGAAAGUAAAAGAAAAUUUCAGUUUCUACCCGAAUUAUAGAUUGUGAGUAUGUGCUAGAUUCCAAUGGUAGAAAAAAAUAGAAGAAAAAAAUGGAAGAAAAUGGAAGUUAAAAUAUAGAGAACAUCAAAGUCCUUAGGAUUCAUGGUCCAUGCAAUUGGAUCCCAAGAACCAUACUCUGUUAUUUGUAUCCGUACAACCGUGACUGUUUCUCAGCCUAAAAAAAGAAAAGUCUUUUUGCAGUGGUUCCAGGGGAAUAUACAAAAAUGAGUCAUCAAUGCAUACGCAAACAUGAACAAAAGUGACAAGCAAUAAGCAAACCAUGGUCAUAUAUAAAUGCAAUUCACAAUAUAUGUAAGAGAUAUCCAUACGACAAACAAUUAUUAAGGUUAAGGUCUGGAUAGG
rnacentral:misc_RNA from 1 species